rnacentral:rRNA from 1 species
GAUGAACGCUGGCGGCGUGCCUAAUACAUGCAAGUCGAGCGAACAGACGAGGAGCUUACUCCUCUGACGUUAGCGGCGGACGGGUGAGUAACACGUGGAUAACCUACCUAUAAGACUGGGAUAACUUCGGGAAACCGGAGCUAAUACCGGAUAACAUGUUGAACCGCAUGGUUCAACAGUGAAAGACGGUCUUGCUGUCACUUAUAGAUGGAUCCGCGUCGCAUUAGCUAGUUGGUAAGGUAACGGCUUACCAAGGCAACGAUGCGUAGCCGACCUGAGAGGGUGAUCGGCCACACUGGAACUGAGACACGGUCCAGACUCCUACGGGAGGCAGCAGUAGGGAAUCUUCCGCAAUGGGCGAAAGCCUGACGGAGCAACGCCGCGUGAGUGAAGAAGGUCUUCGGAUCGUAAAACUCUGUUAUUAGGGAAGAACAAAUGUGUAAGUAACUAUGCACGUCUUGACGGUACCUAAUCAGAAAGCAACGGCUAACUACGUG